UCUGAAUAUACAUAUAAAAGGACUUGAAAUAUAUUUUAUUUUUCAUUUGUAACUAAAUCCUCACCAGUGUAUAUUAAACAUUUUCAAACAAAAUAUACAGGAUGAGGACUUUAGUCUUUUUUUGCUGUCUGUUCCUUUUCAUAUCUAUGGCAAACAGCCAAGCAUUCAGUCAGUGGAUUUCCUUUAUUCCUCCCAGUGUAUUGGCAUUAAUACCAGGUAUGAAUACAACAUCAACGCCAACGUCAACGUCAACAUCAACGACUACUACUACUACACCGACUCCCUGAACGCUGACAGUCUACUACUAUGAAUCAAAAUAAAGGAACUUUUUUUAAAUACACAAGUCUGUUUCCUACAACAGUUAGAAAUUUAUAGCAUACUGUAUUAAACCAUAGGUGAUUUUUAGUUGGAUUAACAAUGUUGAUUUUUUACCUUUUUUGUCUGCUGAUAUUAGUACUGUAGGACUGCAAUAUAUGUUGUCUUCAUCGGUAAAUUGGCGACAUUUAAAUCGUAUGGCAGAAAUCAACACUUUAACCAAUAUAUCUUAUAAUGAAUCGAUUUAAAUUUGUUUCAAAUUGUCUUACUGCAUGUAAAUUACAAUAAAGCCAUUCAGAAGAACAUAA